GACGAACGCUGGCGGCGUGCUUAACACAUGCAAGUCGAACGAAGUGGCGAACGGGUGAGUAACGCGUAAUCAACCUGCCCUUCAGAGGGGGACAACAGUUGGAAACGACUGCUAAUACCGCAUACUGAAGGAGGGGAUUGCGUCUGAUUAGCUAGUUGGAGGGGUAACGGCCCACCAAGGCGAUGAUCAGUAGGCGGUCUUGGGGGAGGAAAGGACAAAGUGGGGAUUAGACACAGCCCAGACUCCGUCGGGAGGCAGCAGUUGGGAAUCUUCCGCAAUGGACGAAAGUUCGACCGAGCAAAGCCGCGUGAGUGAUGGCGGCCUUCGGGUUGUAAAGCUCUGUUAAUCGGGACGCGGUACCGGAAUAGAAAGCCACGGCUAACUACGUGCCAGCCGCCGCGGUAAUUC
rnacentral:rRNA from 1 species